UACGAAGGGGGCUAGCGUUGCUCGGAUUCACUGGGCGUAAAGGGUGCGUAGGUGGUUAGGUAAGUCCGAUGUGAAAUCUCCAGGCUCAACCUGGAAAUGGCAUUGGAUACUAUCUAGCUUGAGGAGUGGAGGGGGGACUGGAAUUCUCGGUGUAGCAGUGAAAUGCGUAGAUAUCGAGAGGAACACCAGUGGCGAAGGCGAGUCCCUGGACACCUCCUGACACUGAGGCACGAAAGCUAGGGGAGCAAACAGG
rnacentral:rRNA from 1 species